UACGUAGGGGGCAAGCGUUGUCCGGAUUUAUUGGGCGUAAAGAGCUCGUAGGCGGUUGGACAAGUUGAGUGUGAAAGCUCCUGGCUAAACUAGGAGAGGACAUUCAAGACUGUUCGACUAGAGGAUGGUAGAGGGGCGUAGAAUUCCGGGUGUAGCGGUGAAAUGUGUAGAGAUCCGGAGGAAUACCAGUGGUGAAGACGACGCCCUGGGCCAUUACUGACGCUGAGAUGCGAAAGCGUGGGGAGCGAACGGG
rnacentral:rRNA from 1 species